rnacentral:rRNA from 1 species
UACGGACUGAGAUAAUGGUUAACAGAGACAAACGGGGGCAUUUGUAUGGCCCCGUGAGAGGUGAAAUUCUUGGACCGUGGCCGGACAAACUACAGCGAAAGCAUUUGCCAAGAAUGUCUUCAUUAAUCAAGAACGAAAGUCAGAGGUUCGAAGGCGAUCAGAUACCGCCCUAGUUCUGACCGUAAACGAUGCCAACUAGCGAUCCGCUGAUGGAAAUUAUAUUGCCUUGGUGGGGAGCUUCCCGGAAACGAAAGUCUUCCGGUUCCGGGGGAAGUAUGGUUGCAAAGCUGAAACUUAAAGGAAUUGACGGAAGGGCACCACCAGGAGUGGAGCCUGCGGCUUAAUUUGACUCAACACGGGGAAACUCACCCGGCCCGGACACUGUGAGGAUUGACAGAUUGAUAGCUUUUUCAUGAUUCAGUGGAUGGUGGUGCAUGGCCGUUCUUAGUUCGUGGAGUGAUUUGUCUGGUUUAUUCCGAUAACGAGCGAGACUCUAACCUACUAAAUAGUUGGUACAUACUCUUUGUGUAUACAGCUUCUUAGAGGGAUUUGCGGCGUUCAGCCGAAAGAAAUUGAGCAAUAACAGGUCUGUGAUGCCCUUAGAUGUCCGGGGCUGCACGCGCGCUACACUGGCAAAAUCAACGUGCUUGUCCUACCCUGAAAGGGGCGGGUAAACCAUUGAAAAUUUGCCGUGAUUGGGAUCGGAAAUUGCAAUUAUUUUCCGUGAACGAGGAAUUCCAAGUAAGUGCGAGUCAUCAGCUCGCGUUGAUUACGUCCCUGCCCUUUGUACACACCGCCCGUCGCUGCCCGGGACUGAGCCAUUUCGAGAAAUUUGGGGACCGUUGAUUUAAUUUAUCUAAAUUAUUUUGAUGGAAACCAAUUUAAUCGCAGUGGCUUGAACC